rnacentral:rRNA from 1 species
GAGUUUGAUCGUGGCUCAGAUUGAACGCUGGCGGCAUGCCUUACACAUGCAAGUCGAACGGUAACAGGUCUUCGGAUGCUGACGAGUGGCGAACGGGUGAGUAAUACAUCGGAACGUGCCCGAUCGUGGGGGAUAACGAAGCGAAAGCUUUGCUAAUACCGCAUACGAUCUACGGAUGAAAGCAGGGGACCGCAAGGCCUUGCGCGAACGGAGCGGCCGAUGGCAGAUUAGGUAGUUGGUGGGAUAAAAGCUUACCAAGCCGACGAUCUGUAGCUGGUCUGAGAGGACGACCAGCCACACUGGGACUGAGACACGGCCCAGACUCCUACGGGAGGCAGCAGUGGGGAAUUUUGGACAAUGGGCGAAAGCCUGAUCCAGCCAUGCCGCGUGCAGGAUGAAGGCCUCGGUGUAACGUGC